rnacentral:rRNA from 1 species
CCCUUAGACGUUCUGGGCCGCACGCGCGCUACACUGACCAGUGCAACAAGCAUCCGUCCUUGGCCGACAGGCUCGGGCAAUCUUUGAACGCUGGUCGUGAUGGGGAUAGACUUUUGCAAUUUUUGGUCUUCAACGAGGAAUUCCUAGUAAACGCAAGUCAUCAACUUGCAUUGAUUACGUCCCUGCCCUUUGUACACACCGCCCGUCGCACCUACCGAUUGAAUGGUCCGGUGAAGCCUCCGGAUUGGCGCGCACCUCGGUGCCGCCGAGAAGUUGGCUAAACCUUACCAUGUAGAGGAAGGUGAAGUCGUAACA